GUGAGCGAGCGUAGCGGUCGCGAGAUGGAUUCGUCCAUAGCGAGGAAAGUCCGAGCUCCAUAGGGCAGGGUGGUGGGUAACUCCCACCGGGAGCAAUCCCAGGGAAAGUGCCACAGAAAAUAUACCGCCAUUGUCAUUUGAUGAUGGUAAGGGUGAAAUGGUGAGGUAAGAGCUCACCGCAGGGGCGGUGACGUCCUUGGCAGGGUAAACCCCACCCGGAGAAAGACCAAACAGAGGUGAAGGAGUGCCCCCUCCGCUCUCGCUUGCGAGAAUAUGCCCGGGUAGGUCGUUAGAGCCCUUUGGCAACAUUGGGCCCAGAGGAAUGACCGCACACCAUUUCGGUGGUGAACAGGACUCGGCUUACUGCUCGCUCACCCUU
rnacentral:RNase_P_RNA from 2 species